AAUGAACGCUGGCGGCGCGCCUAAUACAUGCAAGUCGAGCGAGAAGACGUAGCAAUACGUUUGUAAAGCGGCGAACGGGUGAGGAAUACAUGGGUAACCUACCCUCGAGUGGGGAAUAACUAGCCGAAAGGUUAGCUAAUACCGCGUACGCUUCUUGGACUUCGGUUCAGGGAGGAAAGCGAUGCCGAGGGUAUCGCGCUCUUGGAUGGGCUCAUGUCCUAUCAGCUUGUUGGGAGGUAACGGCUCACCAAGGCUUCGACGGGUAGCUGGUCUGGGAGGACGAUCAGCCGCACUGGCACUACGACACGGGCCAGACUCCUACGGGAGGCAGCAGUAAGGAAUAUUGCGCAAUGGGCGAAAGCCUGACGCAGCGACGCCGCGUGGGGGA
rnacentral:rRNA from 1 species